GACGAACGCUGGCGGCGUGCUUAACACAUGCAAGUCGAACGGAAAGGUCCUGCUUUUGUGGGGUGCUCAAGUGGCGAACGGGUGAGUAACACGUGAGUAACCUGCCCUUGACUUUGGGAUAACUUCUGGAAACAGGGGCGAAUACCGGAUAUGAGCUCCUGCUGCAUGUUGGGGGGUGGAAAGUUGCGGCGGUUGGGGAUGGACUCGCGGCUUAUCAGCUUGUUGGUGGGGUAGUGGCUUACCAAGGCUUUGACGGGUAGCCGGCCUGAGAGGGUGACCGGCCACAUUGGGCCUGGGGUACGGCCCGGAGGCAUACGUGCGGCAGGAGUGGGGAAUAUAGCGCGAAGGGCGGAAGGAUGAAGGAGCAACGUCGCGUGCGGGAUGACGGCCUUCGGGGUGUAACAAGUUUUCGACUGAGAGGAAGCGUGAGUGAGGGUAAUGGGCAGAGAAGCACCGGCUAACUACGG
rnacentral:rRNA from 1 species